AUUCUCACCGGGGCCUGCGGGGCAGAGCUGCCCUUCUCGGUUGCUGUCCCUGAGGAGCCCGUCCAGCCAGCUGGGCCGCGAGGCCGAGGCCAGGCCGCAGCCCAGGAGCCGCCCCACCGCCACCGGC
rfam:Callithrix jacchus chromosome 14, whole genome shotgun sequence